rnacentral:rRNA from 1 species
UACGUAGGAGGCAAGCGUUGUCCGUAUUUAUUGGGCGUAAAGAGCGUGUAGGCGGCCAGGGAGGUCCGUUGUUAAAACUCGAGGCUCAACCUCGAGACGCCGAUGGAAACCCCCUGGCUAGAGUCCGGAAGAGGAGAAUGGAAUUCCUGGUGUAGCGGUGAAAUGCGCAGAUAUCAGGAAGAACACCCGUGGCUAAGGCGGUUCUCUAGUACGGUACUGACGCUGAGACGCGAAAGCGUGGGGAGCGAACAGG